rnacentral:lncRNA from 1 species
AGGCUCAAGAGAGGCUCCCUCAAUGAGGCAAGCAGAGUCCCUGCCCAGAGCCCCCAACUCCACACCUCCCCAGGAUGCAGGCCCAGGAGAGGCCCCCUCGAUGAGGUUGCCACGAAACAUCCAAUAUUUGAAAGUGUUCUAUGGACCUCAAAUGGCAUGAGACACCUUAAAAUGUUUGCUGGAUGGCAGUAGGAGGAGGCUCUGCUGCUCAUGUUCAUGGAGUCCCACGGCCACCAGGCCCUUUGAAUCUCGAGUUUCUGGCUUCAGAUGCCCCCAGGUUUCCAGAAGUCAAGAUUUCUAACAAAUGGACCCAAACCCCAAGCCAGCACCUGGAAGUGGCAGCAACACGGCUGUGUGGACCCGGGUGCUGGGAACCUUCUGGAGGCAGCUGGACACAGGGGCUGCCGGUGCGGAGAGGGACGCUGCUCAUUUUGACAUUUCAUCUGAAUAACGUUCCAAGUGUUCUAAUGAAAGCCUCUGCGCUCCCUUUG